UGAAACGGAAAUAGAGAAUUUGGUGAUCUAUUUUGAGCAGAACAUGAUAUCAACUAAUGGUAUUCUACCUACAAACUUAAUCACAUUUGUUAACAGUUAAAUAGGAAUUAUCAUGUUUAUUAGAAUAAAAACGAACACGACGAUGCUCAGUUUACAGCCUAGCACCUAAUUUAGUAUUUUAAGUAACCUUUUAGCCUUAGUUCAUACGUUCUAAACAGUUCCAUUACCUAUUAAAAAUGGAAAAAAAAAAACUACUAGAGGUCUCAUCUCGUUACUGAGUCACUUUUUAAACAAAUGUAUGAAUAGCGGAUAGGAAAUUAACUAUAACUAAUCAUGAAAUUAUUAUAUCAACCUACAAUGAAAUUAACUACAACUAAUGUUUAACUCAUGAUGCUCACACGAAUCUGAGAAGUAACAGUUUAUACAGUCCAUUUAGUACAAAAUAAGCAAUGAUCUAAAUAGCAUCAGUGAACAGAAUGUCUGCAUACACAAAUCAGGAAGUAAACAAAGUCAAAACUCAUGUUUCAAUUCUUCACAUAGACUCAUUCUUCACGUUUUUAGCUCACAAUUAUUAGAGUUACAGCUGUGUACCUGGAAUUGAAUAAAACAUGAGAAAUCGGAGUCAACUACAGCAGCAGAUCAGUAUAGGUACGACUAAAGCAAGCAACAACAAAUCCCAAUUCCAAAACCCAGAAAAUGUUUUAACACUCAAUCAACCCGUCAAUCAAACCAAACAACUUGAAUAGCCACACAAACUUGAAACUAAACCCAGCAAUACUAUCUAAAAAUUCAGCAACCAAAACACAGUCUCUUCAAAUUAUUUUCAUUAGACUAGGACUCGAAUUGACAGUUGAACUUGCAAUUGAUCUCGGAAUAUCAAUAGAACAGUAAUGUUUAUGGAGUUUUCUACUGUUUUUUAUUUUUGUUUUUUAAAAUUUUCUGAAUCUCAAACUUCAGAUCUAUAAAAACUUGUAGAAUACUUUUGGGGGUUUUUUUU
rnacentral:lncRNA from 1 species